CGGCAUAUUUUGCUAUCCGCCGUUUGUUUAUGGUAAACUUACUCUUGACACCUGUGUUGACAAUAAUUGUAGUCCUUGUCAUUGGCAAGUUGCCGGUCUAUGUUGCUUUUAAAGAUCAUGUUCAUAAAAUUUCCAGCUCCAGUUCUCGUCUACGCGAUUUGUGUUAAUUCCAAAUUCGCCUCUCUACUUAAACACCACAAAUAUUCGCCGCGAUUAGUUGGCUUAUGCUGGCUGGCACAGUCAUUGGUCUUGAUUGUGGGAUGGGGUACCCGAAGUCGUAGGAGACAGCCUUUAGUCAAUGUCGUCUCACAAGGAUGCACGGUACACUAAAGGCGAUCGGACGUACCUCCGAUUAACAGACAUCGGCGUGAUUUCACCUCUAAAUGUGCACAGGCAUUUUGGGAAGCCACACUGAUACCUAUAGGAAUCCUACUGUGUCUGUUUAAUAGAAAUUUAUAAUUGUUUAUGAGGUUUUAGCGGAGUUAAUAGAAAACUACGUUGAAGUUUUACCUGCUCUUGUUAUCCAGGCCGCCUCACAUAAACCGUUGAAUGUCAGAUCGGUUCUAUGACAGGGUUUUGCCAGCCCGUUGCGAGGCCCGAGUACAUCUCCUUGCAGAAAUGGCAGUGUUAACUCACGACCAACUAGCGGCAUUAGAGCGAGAAUAAUGUUUUAAAAAAAAAAAUUUUAAACCCUUAUUUGGGUUAGGUGGAAUAGGCCUCUCGGGGAAACCACUUGAAAAAAAACGCUUCAUUCGUCGUACCUCUGUGGUGUUGUGGAAAUCGACUGUUAUUAUAACCUAACCGUUAAAAUUGGCUGUCGUUAAUCUUUGUUCAUUUUGUUUUUAGAAAAGCUCGCGUUGAAAGGUCGAAAGCUUGUAUCAAAUAUUAGUUGCAAAAUCCACCCCAAGGCCCAUAUAUCGGUAUGACAGGCGGGUACUAUACGCACACGGUAAACCGGAGAACACAAAUACUGCAAUUGAAGUCCAGAAGCUGGAGAUCCGGGCGCUGGCGGACCUGGCUGGGCUGCUGUUGUAAUACCUACGGAAGCUGGACCAACUAUUAAAGAAAAUGUAUAGAGCAGUAAAAAAGGGCAAAAACAACUGUUACUUAGUUGAAAUAUUCACGACACGUGUAUUGUUUGAUAAUCUUUUAUAUAAAGAACCGAUAAAUAAAAUAAAAUAUUCUGCUGUGUCGAUUUUUAUACGUGUUGGCGAUACGAUAUCUGUGUCCGCCACAGUAUUGAUGAUAAUGAAUUUGUAUUGCUGAUAGUGAAUUAAUAAUUAACAAUUAACAGACAAUUAAUUUACACUUUUAAGUUUUAACUAUAUUAUAGCAGUUAUUAUCAUGACAAAACAGUAAAGUGUAAGCAGAUUAUGUUGUACUAAUAGUUUAAUAAGGCAAAAAUAAGAAAACCAUUGUUAAUUAUUUAUUACCGGGUGAUACUUCUGAGUGUCUUUCCUUAACGAUAAUUGUUUAAUAUGCAUUGUGUUAUGUGCGGAAUUCAUAUAUUGUGUUAAAUGAGAAAAAAAACCCUUUUUAAAUAA